UUAAUGAUAAUAAAAACUUGUUGAUGUAACUAAUACGGUUUUCCUGUUAAAAGUUCAAUUUGAUGAGUGCCCCCUUCCCCUGACUUCCAUCUACCCCCUCCGCAUCCACUUCUCCCACGGGCUUGAAGAAAGCAUGGCACAUCAAGUUGAGGUAGGGCCAAGCUCCUCCCUAGAGACAUUUCUUGUGUCUUGAGGUUCCUCACUCUCCAGUGAAUUUAGCUUGUGUCAAGUUGACAUAAAAUGAGCCAAGACCGUGUUCUUCUAGCAUGUGUUCUUAGAUGACAGCAGUUUUAUUAGAAUUAGUCACUACAGUUGGCCUGUCUUAUUGUCAAAGAUUUAACCAAUCAUACACUGAAAAUAUAUGAAACAAAUGAUUCUUGUGCUCUGAAUAUCACCAUCCCAUGAAUUAUACAGUAUAAGCUAUAUAGCUACAUAAAUUGGAUAUUAUAAGGAAUCUAAAGACGAUUUUAUAUAUGUAGGAUGGGAGUACAUAAAGUUAUGUUCAUAGGUUGUAUGUCAUUUUAAAAUCUGUAGGGUCUGGCUCCUGCAGAGUGGGGUGGCAAGUCUUCAUUUAAAAACCACAAAGAGCCUUGGAUUUGCAAAAAAUGUAGAAAGAUGUUUAGAGUUUACUUAAAGAAUGUUUUAAAGAGCCCGUCUGAGCAGAAAUGGUCAGAUGGAUGAAUGGGACUUGAAAAGGGAGAUCUUUUCUAGAAUUCUUAGUCACUUGACUGGUUCUAAUUCAUGGUUUUGCUCUUCAUAGUUUUUCUCAGGUCUGUCACUAUAUUCAGGAAGCUUAGUACCUGGGCUCUCAUGGAUUCAGUACUUGAGCAUUCCUCAUUGUGGAUUUACAGCUUUGCAACACAAUGAAUUCCUGGGACAAAACUUCUGUCCAGAACAUAACACAUCAGAAAUCAGUAGAUGUCAGAACUAUGUAAUAUGCACUGGUGAAGAAUUCUUGAUGAUUCAGGAUAUCGAUCUCUCAUCAUGGGGCUUCUGGAAGAAUCACGUGGCCUUAUCUUUUAUAAUGAUUAUUUUCUUAUUAAUUACCUAUGUGCAAUUAUAACCUCUUAAGAAAAGAGACAUUUUUAAAACUCACUUUCACUUUCUUUGAAUUAAUCUGACAUUUAAAAUAAUUAAAACUUUUCUGGUGUCCAUGUCAGUGGAGCAUCAGGGACCACUUGAAUUCAGGAGUUUGGCCCACCAGAAUAUAAGGCAUUGAUGGGUAAAUCUUGGAUAGACAAGGCCCCAGAACUUGGGCUUCAGCAUGGAUCUUGCCACUGCUGUGCCUUUGUAUCUUACUCUGGUAUAUGGCAUGGUGUGAAUAGGGGCUGGGGAAUUCCCCACUGCCUUGAAUGUGAUGUGAUUAUCUCAUGGAAAUAUCCUGUUCUACUGGGCAUUUUAACUGUGGAUUAUU